rnacentral:rRNA from 1 species
CCUACGGGGGGCAGCAGUCGAGAAUCAUUCACAAUGGGGGAAACCCUGAUGGUGCGACGCCGCGUGGGGGAAUGAAGGUCUUCGGAUUGUAAACCCCUGUCAUGUGGGAGCAAAUUAAAAAGAUAGUACCACAAGAGGAAGAGACGGCUAACUCUGUGCCAGCAGCCGCGGUAAUACAGAGGUCUCAAGCGUUGUUCGGAAUCACUGGGCGUAAAGGGUGCGUAGGCUGUUUCGUAAGUCGGGUGUGAAAGGCGCGGGCUCAACCGGCGGACGGCACAUGAUACUGGGAGACUAGAGUAAUGGAGAGGGAAGCGGAAUUCGCGGUGUAGCAGUGAAAUGCGUAGAUAUCGAGAGGAACACUCAUGGCGAAGGCAGGUUCCUGGACAUUAACUGACGCUGAGGCACGAAGGCCAGGGGAGCGAAAGGGAUUAGAUACACCAGUAGUC